GUGGCUAUGUCAGAAUUAUAUGAGUUAGCUUUAAGCGUUAAUUAUGGGGUUAUCCCCUAGCCACU
rnacentral:tRNA from 1 species